rnacentral:rRNA from 1 species
GACGAACGCUGGCGGCGUGCUUAACCCAUGCAAGUCGAACGAGUGGGAACGGGUGAGUAACACGUGGGUAACCUCCCAUCAGAGGGGAUAACACUUGGAAACAGGUGCUAAACCGAUACUGAUGGAUGGACCCGCGGUGCAUUAGCUAGUUGGUGAGGUAACGGCGAACCAAGGCCACGAUGCAUAGCCGACCUGAGAGGGGGAUCGGCAACACUGGGACUGAGACACGGCCCAGACGCCGACGGGAGGCAGCAGGAGGGAAUCUGCGGCAAUGGACGAAAGUCUGACCGAGCAACGCCGCGUGAGUGAAGAAGGUUUUCGGAUCGUAAAACUCUGUUGUUAGAGAAGCGGUAUCUAACCAGAAAGCCACGGCUAACUACGUGCCAGCAGCCGCGGUAAUAC